rnacentral:lncRNA from 1 species
AGAAAUUUGGGAAACUGGGAAUAUUUUGGGGCUCUGGAUUUCAUUGCUGGAAAAUGCUUUGAAAUGUCUAUUCCAUGUGCAGAGCAAAUGUCUAUAGGUGCAUGAAUAUCUUCUAUAACUGGUGAGUGCCAUGGACUACUUUUCAAUAUAAGUACCUUGUCCUCUUGAUGGGCAAUCUCCAUGUGAAGUUCUUAUAGGUGUCGUUUGAGUCUUAUUUUUUGAGAACGAAGUUUUUUAAUAAGUGAUUUGUUUUGAAAAAUGGGUUGUUGAAG